CCUACGGGAGGCAGCAGUGGGGAAUAUUGGACAAUGGGCGCAAGCCUGAUCCAGCCAUGCCGCGUGGAUGAUGAAGGCCUUAGGGUUGUAAAGUCCUUUCGACGGGGAAGCGGUACCCGUAGAAGAAGCCCCGGCUAACUUCGUGCCAGCAGCCGCGGUAAUACGAAGGGGGCUAGCGUUGCUCGGAAUCACUGGGCGUAAAGCGCACGUAGGCGGCUUUUUAAGUCAGAGGUGAAAUCCUGGAGCUCAACUCCAGAACUGCCUUUGAUACUGAGAAGCUCGAGUCCGGGAGAGGUGAGUGGAACUGCGAGUGUAGAGGUGAAAUUCGUAGAUAUUCGCAAGAACACCAGUGGCGAAGGCGGCUCACUGGCCCGGACUGACGCUGAGGUGCGAAAGCGUGGGGAGCAAACAGGAUUAAUACCCUUGUAGUC
rnacentral:rRNA from 1 species